GUAUUAAUCGGAUUUUUGAACUGGGAGUAUGGUGCUGGAGCUUGCUCCACCCUGCUCACGGGUUGUCCUGGUAUUGCAGUACCUCCAGGUUCGGCUCACGUUUC
rnacentral:snRNA from 1 species